rnacentral:lncRNA from 1 species
AUGGAGGACGAUUAUGAAACCUCAAAAAUGCUAGCCCUAACCCUUAGCCUUCUUAAUACUAACCCAGAACUAGACCAAGUUUCCACUGCUCUCACUUUGUGUGAUCCAACUUGGAAUUACGACACAAAUCAGAGCAAAGCAGAGGAAUUAGACCCUGCUUCUCACAGUGUGCCCACAUUUCCUCCUAAUCCGAAACACGAGAAAAUAUCGGGUACGAAUGAUACGAACAAAGAGUUAGUAAAGAAGAAAAAAAAGCUAGUAGUGCUGGGACCUAGGCCGAGUCCCAAGCCUCGGAGGCCUUGGCCCAUCAGGAAGAUUCUGAAGGCAAGCGACCUCGGAAACUCCUCAAGGCUGCUGGUUCCAAAAGACCCCGCCACGAACCAUUUUCUGCGUUACUUGGAUGACAAGUUUGUCCAAAGGGUUGAGAGUGACGAGGGAUUGGGAGUUACAGUUCAAGAUUACGACACAGGCACAAGACAUCAGUUGACUUUCAAGUUUUGGAGCUCGGCAAAGAGUUACAUUCUCAAUGGAGAGUGGAGAGGGAUGUUUGUGCAGAGGAGAGGCUUGAAGGAGAAGGAUGAAAUUGGGCUUUAUUGGGAUGCUUCCAGAGCCAUGUUCAUGUUUUCCCUCCUUCAACGGGCUUGA